rnacentral:rRNA from 1 species
UACGUAGGGUGCAGGCGUUAAUCGGAAUUACUGGGCGUAAAGCGUGCGCAGGCGGUCUCUUAAGACAGGUGUGAAAUCCCCGGGCUUAACCUGGGAACUGCGCUUGUAACUGAGAGGCUUGAGUGUGCCAGAGGUGAGUGGAAUUCCCAGUGUAGCGGUGAAAUGCGUAGAUAUUGGGAGGAACACCAGUGGCGAAGGCGGCUCACUGGACCGGAACUGACGCUGAGGCGCGAAAGCGUGGGGAGCAAACGGG